rnacentral:rRNA from 1 species
GGUCAUGGAUAUACUUCAUCUGGAGGAAAUCUCUAAGCACCAUAUUGUCGAGCGGUGGACAAAAGACGCAAGAGAUAUACUUCCGAAGCACUUGGUUCAGUACCAGAAAGACAAUUCAGCAAACUUGUCAUUCACAUGCAGAAGCACAAAGCUAUACCUUAAAGCCAUGGAAGUCAUGCGGAUGGGCGAUGCAAGUGUUGCAUCUUUUGAUCACAUGUAUGCUGGUCUCGAAGCUCUGCUAGUGAGUGGAGCACCAUUGGCAGAGAAGAGGGAUGGGUUGGCAUUUGAGGAUCGUUUGGAUGGAACGGUAGGUGGAAGACUGCAAGGCAACAUUGAGAUUGCUUUUGUUGAAGGAGAUGGUGCUGACCAGUGCCAUAGUGGUGGGCAAUCUGUUAGUGUGAAUGCCCUCCAGGGCUUGGAGCUCCAAACAAGCAUAGGGGGGGCGGAAGGCCAGCAAACAACAGGGGGAAGGCACCUUAUGAAGGUCUUAAGUAAACGAACCAGAUCCUGCAGCAUUUGUCGUCGCGAAGGUCAUGAAAAGACCACGUGCCAGAGAGAGGGGUUGUGCCAAAAAAACCCGAGGAAACCUAGGAAAUGCAAGAACUGCGGGAUAGAAGGCCAUCAACGAAAUACAUGCAAGAGGCCACUGGGUGUUGAUGAGAACUGAGCUAUGAAUUUUCAGUUUGUAAUGCGUGUUGUUGUUUAAUCUGGGGAUUUUCUAGUGUGUUUCAGUUGAGCACUGCUCCACACUUGUACCUCAAUCUGCAGGG